rnacentral:tRNA from 1 species
GCGCGAUUAGCUCAGUGGUAGAGCGUACGGUUCACAUCCGUAAGGCCGCAGGUUCAAUCCCUGCAUCGCGCACCA